AUGGACAUGGUGCCCGCUUCAGCGGAGCCGCUCCUCCACCCGGAGCAGUGCCAACUUCGUCCAUCAGACCACCGCAGAUGGUGGGUACUUGUGGCGGCAGCCCUGCUCCUCAUGCUGCUGGUCACCGUUGGCCCUCUCCGUCCUAUGUUGUUCGGCGUGCCACAGUCGGAGCCCGUCGCGCUCAUCCUCCUCACUGCCGCACAGGAGAAGGGUGCUGUGUGCUUGGACGGAACCCCACCGGGUUACCACCUCCAGAGAGGCUCCGGUGACAGCUCCAGCAGCUGGCACAUCCAUCUACAGGGAGGAGGCUGGUGCGGCACAGUCAAUGAUUGUUCCAAUUGUAGAAUGUCCGAUCUCGGUUCGUCUAAAUUCAUGAAACCGAUUCAGUUCACUGGCGCUGGAAUCCUCAGCAGUGAUCACCUGCAAAAUCCUGAUUUCUACAACUGGAACAAAGCCUACGUGCGAUACUGUGAUGGAGCUUCGUUUUCAGGUGAUGCGGAAGGUCAAGCAGAGGAUGGAACCAUACUGCACUUCAGAGGAUUGCGUAUCUAUCAAGCGGUUAUUGACGAACUAAUGGAAAAAGGACUCGCCAAUGCUACACAGGCCAUCCUCACAGGUUGUUCUGCUGGUGGUCUAGCAACGUUUGUGCAUUGCGACGAUUUUAGUGCACGAUUUUCUCACAAGGUUUCGGUUAAAUGCCUUGUCGAUGCUGGGUUUAUUCUUGACGUAAAGGAUAUAUCUGGACAAAGGUCCUUCCGAUCUCUCUAUGGUGGAGUCGUUCACCUCCAGAAUGUUAGACAAGUGUUGCCCAAGGACUGCCUUACCAACAAAGAGCCAACUGAGUGUUUCUUCCCCGCAGAGCUUAUUAAGAGCAUCCACACCCCCAUGUUUAUUGUCAACUCUGGGUAUGAUCCAGCGCAGAUACGAAAUGUGAUCGUACCAGCUUCGUCGGCUCCUGAUAAGUCGUGGUUGAGUUGCAAGGAUAAUAUCCGGAACUGCAAUUCCACACAAAUUGAUGUUCUUGAUGGACUAAGGACCACGAUGGCUGAUGCAUUAAAGGUUGUUAAAGAUAAAGAGGACUGGGGAUUUUUCAUCGACUCAUGCUUCACUCAUUGCCAAAUGGUCCUUGACGUCUCUUGGAAUUCACAUAAUUCCCCGAGGCUUGGAAAUAAAACCGUUGCAGAAGCUGUUGGAGAUUGGCACCAUGGAAGGACGCAAGGAGUGAAAGAGGUUGACUGCAAGUAUCCGUGCAACCCAACAUGCAAUAGUCAGUCACCUUUAUGA
rnacentral:rRNA from 1 species